GAAUUAAUUACUAAACCUGAUUGUCCUUUUGGCAGAACCUUGUAGUGAGAACUUCUUCACAGGGAAAAUCUCUUUCCAAGGUUGCAGUUCUUUUUGCUCCUGAAUUCUCCAUAUGCCAUAUCUGCACUAUGUUUUAUAUUGUAUGUGGAUAAAAUGAAAGCAUUUUUUUUUCCAACCAAAGUGGAUACAGAGGAAAGUUUAGCCCAAGAACUCAAGGUUGAGUAUCACAUCAGAAUUUUGUACUGCUUUUAAGAGUAUGAUGCUGUAUUUGUGACAGAAGACCUGGACUGGGAGAAAUGCAAUUCUUUCUGCCACAGGUAGUCUGAGAACAGCACCGAAAAGGCAAAUUAUUGCCCCUGGCCCAGAUUCAAGUCCCUAUCCACAUGACCAAGCAGGCUCAGCUACAGUUUUGCUCCUUCUUUUAACUCAUAGAAUCAAUAAAACUGCUGUGUACAAUCCAGCUGGA